rnacentral:rRNA from 1 species
ACGAACGCUGGCGGCGUGCUUAACACAUGCAAGUCGAACGGAAAGGCCUUUUCGGAGGUACUCGAGUGGCGAACGGGUGAGUAACACGUGGGUGAUCUGCCCUGCACUCUGGGAUAAGCCUGGGAAACUGGGUCUAAUACCGGAUAGGACCGCACUUUAGUGUGUGCGGUGGAAAGUUUUUUCGGUGUAGGAUGAGCCCGCGGCCUAUCAGCUUGUUGGUGGGGUAAUGGCCUACCAAGGCGGCGACGGGUAGCCGGACUGAGAGGUUGGUCGGCCACAUUGGGACUGAGAUACGGCCCAGACUCCUACGGGAGGCAGCAGUGGGGAAUAUUGCACAAUGGGCGCAAGCCUGAUGCAGCGACGCCGCGUGGGGGAUGACGGCCUUCGGGUUGUAAACUCCUUUCGCCAGGGACGAAGCGUUUUGUGACGGUACCUGGAGAAGAAGCACCGGCUAACUACGUG